GGAGACGGACACUAACAACAAUCCUUCGGGCAAAACAGAAAAGAACUGACCAGAUGCUAUGGCUUCAAGUGAUUCCUCUCAUCAACACCAAUUUUGACGAUGGAGCUUCUAUUAGCUACAUGGUGACAUUCAACCAAACAUGUUUCAACCGGAAUACAUAGCGAAGAGAGUUUCAAACAAAGAGUUGGAUUUAGCUCACGUUAGAAGGUCAGCUCCUGCCGAUGCAAACACCGAGAGGGUAGAUUACAAAUACGGUCCGUAGCUAGAAUGUUGAACACAGCAGAGUUCAAACACCCUACAGGGGGGUGAAGACAACGGAGCAGAACAGCGGAAUGGCAGAACUAAAUUCUCUUCAACUUCACUCAGGUGAGUUUUCUGAAGACUGGAGUGAUGAACGACUCCUACUGGAGUGAUGAACGACUCCUACUGGAGUGAUGAACGACUCCUACUGCAGUGAUGAACGACUCCUACUGGAGUGAUGAACGACUCCUAAACAAUGAAUCCUUUUGAAAACAAACGGAGACUUCUUAUUCUGCAUGUUUCAAGAGAUUUCUAGGCAAACUAAACAUGUUUUCAUAAAUAAUUAUGUUUUUCAUUCUUAAUAGCCAAUUAAAUUGCAUUGAAAAACAUGAGCAUUUUAUAUUUAAAGGACAGGUAGGUUAUUUCACACACAACUGUUUGCUCGAGUAUUUACACAUGGAAGAGUAACGAUUAGCGAACACUAAUUUGAACCUCCUGUAUGUGUCCCAAAUGUCACCAUAAUCCCUACAUAGUGCACUACUUUUGACCAGCGUCCUACAGUAUGUGCACCAUGUAGGGAAUAGGGUGCCAGUAGUGCACUAUGUAGGGAAUAGGGUGCCAGUAGUGCACUAUGUAGGGAAUAGGGUGCCAGUAGUGCACUACGUAGGGAAUAAGGUGCCAGUAGUGCACUAUGUAGGGAAUAGGGUGCCAUUUGGGAUGCGACAAAGAGGCUAAAAUGAUUUAUUUGUUAGCUAACCGUUACUCUUCCAGCAGACAGUUGCGUAUGAAAUAACCUACCUUGUCCUUUUAAAAUAAAAUACCCACGUUAGUUAGAAUUCCCUUCCUGAACAGCGAAGCUGAAAAUAAAUGCUUUACCUUCACUUCCGUCAGUGGAGUUAGUUGGCUGUCUAAAAUUGAGCUUUUCAUUUGUGUUUUAGAACCAUACUGUUGAGUAUUUAAUUAUUUUUUUUGGUGGGGGGGUUGGUUUGAUUUUGUAUGCCAUCUGUUUUAUUAGUAAAAUACACACGCUCCUUUCAUGACUCUUAUGUUCUUCUAUUAGCUGCGUCGGGUGUAGUGCUCACUGACCAAUACAAGUGGAGUUAGGUCUUCUGGCUCUCAAUACAUUUGAUGUAUGAGACAAAAGUGUUAGCGCUGAUAAUGCAGUCAGUGAAUAAUGUGUUAGCCCUGAUAAUGCAGUCAGUGAAUAAUGUGCUAGCCCUGAUAAUGCAGUCAUUAAAUAAUGUCUUAGCCCUGAUUAAUGGAGUCAGUAAACAAUGUGUUAGCCCUGAUAAUGCAGUCAGUAAAUAAUGGGUUAGCCCUGAUAAUGCAGUCAGUAAAUAAUGUGUUAGCCCUGAUAAUGCAGUCAGUAAAUAAUGUGUUAGCCCUGAUAAUGCAGUCAGUGAAUAAUGUGUUAGCCCUGAUAAUGCAGUCAGUGAAUAAUGUGUUAGCCCUGAUAAUGCAGUCAGUGAAUAAUGUGUUAGCCCUGAUAAUGCAGUCAGUAAAUAAUGUUUUAGCCCUGAUAAUGCAGUCAGUAAAUAAUAUGUUAGCCCUGAUAUUACAGUCAGUGAAUAAUGUGUUAGCCCUGAUAAUGCAGUCAGUGAAUAAUUUGUUAGCCCUGAUAAUGCAGUCAGUAAAUAAUGUGUUAGCCCUGAUAAUGCAUUCAGUGAAUAAUGUGUUAGCCCUGAUAAUGCAUUCAUUGAAUAAUGUGUUAGCCCUAAUAAUGCAGUCAGUGAGUAAUGUGUUAGCCCUGAUAAUGCAGUCAGUGAAUAAUGUGUUAGCUCUGAUAAUGCAGCCAGUGAAUAAUGUGUUAGCCAUGAUAAUGCAGCCAGUAAAUAAUGUUAGUCCUGAUAAUGUAGUCAGUAAAUAAUGUGUUAGCCCUGAUAAUGCAGUCAGUGAAUAAUGUUUUAGCCCUGAUAAUGCAGUCAGUAAAUAAUGUGUUAGCCCUGAUAAUGCAGUCAGUGAAUAAUGUGUUAGCCCUGAUAAUGCAGUCAGUGAAUAAUGUGUUAGCCCUGAUAAUGCAGUCAGUGAAUAAUGUGUAAGGAUGGAAACAAUGAAUUAUCACGCUGGAGAACUAAAGCUUGUCAGGUAACUGUCUUCUGUUGAUUUAUUAUGAGGUAACAUUCGGUCAUUAGGUCAUGGCCACAGAUGUGAUGCUACUGAAGCUCAUAGUCACAUUUUCCUAUAAACCCUGGCAUAGAAAGUGAAAGUUGUGGGCAACUGAUUUUGCUGAGGAAAAUGAAUGUCACUCAAAUUUACUGAUAUAGUCAAAAACUGGGGUCAUAAAAAAAGCUGAGGUCAAUUUGGACAAAUUCUGUCCUGUCAAUCUCAAACCCCAGGCUAUAGUGACACCGCAGCAAUGCAGUGCCUUAGACCGCUGUGCCACUCGGGAGGCGAAACUGAUGAAUUCUGAUAGGGAUUGACGCACCGGUGCGACCAAUAGACUCAAGGGGUUUUUAGACAGAGUUUUAAUGUGACAGCAGAUAUCUUUAUUUGGUCUACAUACACACACAGACACAAACACAGACACAAACAUACACACACACACAGACACAUACACACGCAGACACAUACACACGCAGACACAUACACACACAGACACAAACACCUACACACACAGACACAAACACCUACACACACAGACACAUACACACGCAGACACAAACACACACAGAGACAGACAGGGGACUGAUCAAUGUUGAAGGGCAGUGGACCCACACAAUAAAGGCCCCUAAUUGAAUUUCUUUAAUGAAGCCGUUUAUUAAACAGCAUGUAAUUGAUUAAUCAAUCCGUAGCUUGGCUUCAAAUUCAUAAUUAUGUUGCAGCGUGAGGCUGGUCACCCUGUGGACAGACUUACAGUGCUGAGUGUCAGGCUUAGAGGGACGUAGUGAAUGGACGGAGUGUGUGUGUGUGUAUAACAGUAUGCAUACCUGUGUAUGAUA